UACGGAGGGGGCUAGCGUUGUUCGGAAUUACUGGGCGUAAAGCGCACGUAGGCGGCUUUGUAAGUUAGAGGUGAAAGCCCGGGGCUCAACUCCGGAAUUGCCUUUAAGACUGCAUCGCUAGAAUUGUGGAGAGGUAAGUGGAAUUCCGAGUGUAAAGGUGAAAUUCGUAGAUAUUCGGAAGAACACCAGUGGCGAAGGCGACUUACUGGACACAUAUUGACGCUGAGGUGCGAAAGCGUGGGGAGCAAAGCAGG
rnacentral:rRNA from 1 species